CUCCAGACUCCUACGGGAGGCAGCAGUGGGGAAUAUUGCACAAUGGGGGAAACCCUGAUGCAGCGACGCCGCGUGAGCGAUGAAGUAUUUCGGUAUGUAAAGCUCUAUCAGCAGGGAAGAAGAUGACGGUACCUGACUAAGAAGCCCCGGCUAACUACGUGCCAGCAGCCGCGGUAAUACGUAGGGGGCAAGCGUUAUCCGGAUUUACUGGGUGUAAAGGGAGCGUAGACGGCGAUGCAAGCCAGAUGUGAAAGCCCGGGGCUCAACCCCGGGACUGCAUUUGGAACUGUGUGGCUGGAGUGUCGGAGAGGCAGGCGGAAUUCCUAGUGUAGCGGUGAAAUGCGUAGAUAUUAGGAGGAACACCAGUGACGAAGGCGGCCUGCUGGACGAUGACUGACGUUGAGGCUCGAAAGCGUGGGGAGCAAACAGGAUUAGAUACCCUCGUAC
rnacentral:rRNA from 1 species